UACGUAGGGUGCAAGCGUUGUCCGGAAUUAUUGGGCGUAAAGAGCUUGUAGGCGGUUUGUCGCGUCUGCUGUGAAAUUUCGGGGCUCAACCCCGAACUUGCAGUGGGUACUGGCAGACUAGAGUGUGGUAGGGGAGACUGGAAUUCCUGGUGUAGCGGUGAAAUGCGCAGAUAUCAGGAGGAACACCGAUGGCGAAGGCAGGUCUCUGGGCCAUAACUGACGCUGAG
rnacentral:rRNA from 1 species